CAGAGGAGCCAAGCGUUGUCCGGAUUGACUGGGCGUAAAGCGCACGCAGGCGGAUGCGCGCGUGGGGUGUGAAAUCUGGCCGCUUAACGGCCAGGCGCCAUCCCAUACGACGCGUCUGGAGCCUUGCAGAGGUCGGUGGAAUUGCCGGUGUAGUGGUGAAAUGCGUAGAGAUCGGCAGGAACACCCAGGGGGAAACCAGCCGACUGGGCAAGUGCUGACGCUGAGGUGCGAGAGCGUGGGGAGCGAACCGGAUUAGAUACCCGGGUAGUCCACGCCGUAAACGAUGGCCACUCGGCCUUUGGGGGCGGAAUCUCCGUCCGUGGGGGCCUUAGCAAACGCGGGAAGUGGCCCGCCUGGGAACUACGAGCGCAAGCUUA
rnacentral:rRNA from 1 species